AGUGAACGCUGGCGGUAGGCCUAACACAUGCAAGUCGAACGGCAGCACAGGAGAGCUUGCUCUCUGGGUGGCGAGUGGCGGACGGGUGAGGAAUACAUCGGAAUCUACUCUGUCGUGGGGGAUAACGUAGGGAAACUUACGCUAAUACCGCAUACGACCUACGGGUGAAAGCAGGGGACCUUCGGGCCUUGCGCGAUUGAAUGAGCAGAUGUCGGAUUAGCUAGUUGGCGGGGUAAAGGCCCACCAAGGCGACGAUCCGUAGCUGGUCUGAGAGGAUGAUCAGCCACACUGGAACUGAGACACGGUCCAGACUCCUACGGGAGGCAGCAGUGGGGAAUAUUGGACAAUGGGCGCAAGCCUGAUCCAGCCAUACCGCGUGGGUGAAGAAGGCCUUCGGGUUGUAAAGCCCUUUUGUUGGGAAAGAAAUCCAGCUGGCUAAUACCCGGUUGGGAUGAUGGUACCCAAAGAAUAAGCACCGGCUAACUUCGUGCCAGCCGCCGCAGUAA
rnacentral:rRNA from 1 species